rnacentral:RNase_P_RNA from 1 species
CUGGAAGGGCGGAGGUUCGCUGUCGGCCAGGUUCCGGCAGAGGAAAGUCCGAACACCACAGGGCGCGAUGCCACACAACCCGUCGUUUCGGCGACGGGAUACGUGCGGGAGACGACGCCGCGAGGCGUCCCGACGGAAAGUGCCACAGAAAACAAACCGCCCGCUCUGAGAUUUGAAAUCUGAGAUUUGAGAUUUCAGAGGGGGUAAGGGUGAAAAGGUGGGGUAAGAGCCCACCGCUCCAAGCGCAAGCGAGGAGGCACGGAAAACCCCAUCGGGUGCAAGGCCAAAUAGGGAACCGCGACGCGGCCCGUGUCACGCCCCGCAACUGCGGGGCCGGUUCCGGGUAAGGCCGCUCAGAUAAAUGAACCUCUCCCCGGCGACCGCGGUUGCCGGGAAGACAGAACUCGGCUUACAGCCCUUCCAGAACC